rnacentral:rRNA from 1 species
GUGGGGAAUAUUGGACAAUGGGGGGAACCCUGAUCCAGCCAUGCCGCGUGUGUGAAGAAGGCCUUUUGGUUGUAAAGCACUUUAAGCGAGGAGGAGGCUACCGAGAUUAAUACUCUUGGAUAGUGGACGUUACUCGCAGAAUAAGCACCGGCUAACUCUGUGCCAGCAGCCGCGGUAAUACAGAGGGUGCAAGCGUUAAUCGGAUUUACUGGGCGUAAAGCGCGCGUAGGUGGCCAAUUAAGUCAAAUGUGAAAUCCCCGAGCUUAACUUGGGAAUUGCAUUCGAUACUGGUUGGCUAGAGUAUGGGAGAGGAUGGUAGAAUUCCAGGUGUAGCGGUGAAAUGCGUAGAGAUCUGGAGGAAUACCGAUGGCGAAGGCAGUCAUCUGGCCUAAUACUGACACUGAGGUGCGAAAGCAUGGGGAGCAAACAGGAUUAGAAACCCUUGUAGUCC